CAAGUGUAGCAUUGGUUUGGAGGCAGCCUGUGGCAUUUUGGAAGCCACUACAAGAUCCCUAGGACAUGUGGAGCUGAGGUGCAGCGACCAAGGAGAGGCCAGUUACCCUUCUCUUGACUCUCCUGGGCAAGAUUCAGAACAUGAGAAGAACAGCCACUCUUCAGACAGAAGCUGGACACUGAGUCUGCACUCAAAUGGAGGGGAAUUCAACUACCACCUGGAGGAAGACUUGCUUUCUGUGGAUAUGCCGAUGAACAAAAGGGACAUUGUCCCUAACCUCAAAAUCUGGGAGAGAAAACAGACAGGUGAGGAAUGGAUAAAGAAAGGGAAACAUCGCAAGGAUGCUGUGUGAGCACCUGGCAGUUACUUGGAUCUUAGUUCUGGGGUUCAGCCCUAAUUUUCUUUCUUUGGAUGAAGAAGAUCCUCAGCAGCUAUCUUCAAAGAAUAUAUAUGCAUUUGACAUGUGGAAUACUUAGUGGCAUGAUGUUUGGGCACAAAUCAUGAACUAUCCCUGGGGAGUAUCCUGAGUCACUGGAGGAUUUGGUGUUUCAGGAAGAGGAAGAGGAGGAGGCUCUUCGUGCAUUUUCAGAAGGAAAGAUGAUUGACAAGCAUCAUCUCAAUCACUGGACAAACUCCCCUCACUUUACUCCUUUGAGCAGUUAGCUCAAGGGGAAC